rnacentral:rRNA from 1 species
UACGGAAGGCAGCAGUGGGGAAUAUUGCACAAUGGGCGCAAGCCUGAUGCAGCCAUGCCGCGUGUAUGAAGAAGGCCUUCGGGUUGUAAAGUACUUUCAGUCGUGAGGAAGGUGUUAAGGUUAAUAACCUUAGCAAUUGACGUUAGCGACAGAAGAAGCACCGGCUAACUCCGUGCCAGCAGCCGCGGUAAUACGGAGGGUGCGAGCGUUAAUCGGAAUUACUGGGCGUAAAGGGCACGCAGGCGGUUAAUUAAGUUGGAUGUGAAAUCCCCGGGCUUAACCUGGGAAUGGCAUUCAAGACUGGCUAGCUAGAGUCUUGUAGAGGGGGUAGAAUUCCAUGUGUAGCGGUGAAAUGCGUAGAGAUGUGGAGGAAUACCGGUGGCGAAGGCGGCCCCCUGGGACAAAGACUGACGCUCAUGUGCGAAAGCGUGGGGAGCAAACAGGGAUUAGAUACC